rnacentral:rRNA from 1 species
UACGUAGGGUGCAAGCGUUAAUCGGAAUUACUGGGCGUAAAGCGUGCGCAGGCGGUGAUGUAAGACAGGUGUGAAAUCCCCGGGCUUAACCUGGGAACUGCAUUUGUGACUGCAUCGCUGGAGUGCGGCAGAGGGGGAUGGAAUUCCGCGUGUAGCAGUGAAAUGCGUAGAUAUGCGGAGGAACACCGAUGGCGAAGGCAAUCCCCUGGGCCUGCACUGACGCUCGUGCACGAAAGCGUGGGGAGCAAACAGG